rnacentral:rRNA from 1 species
AGAGUUUGAUCAUGGCUCAGAGCGAACGCUGGCGGCAGGCUUAACACAUGCAAGUCGAACGAUCCCUUCGGGGAUAGUGGCGGACGGGUGAGUAACACGUGGGAACGUGCCUUUUGGUUCGGAACAACACAGGGAAACUUGUGCUAAUACCGGAUAAGCCCUUCGGGGGAAAGAUUUAUCGCCAUUAGAGCGGCCCGCGUCUGAUUAGCUAGUUGGUGAGGUAAAGGCUCACCAAGGCUACGAUCAGUAGCUGGUCUGAGAGGAUGAUCAGCCACACUGGGACUGAGACACGGCCCAGACUCCUACGGGAGGCAGCAGUGGGGAAUCUUGCGCAAUGGGGGAAACCCUGACGCAGCCAUGCCGCGUGAAUGAUGAAGGUCUUAGGAUUGUAAAAUUCUUUCAGCGGGGACGAUAAUGACGGUACCCGCAGAAGAAGCUCCGGCUAACUUCGUGCCAGCAGCCGCGGUAAUACGAAGGGGGCUAGCGUUGCUCGGAAUUACUGGGCGUAAAGGGCGCGUAGGCGGACAGUUAAGUCAGAGGUGAAAGCCCAGGGCUCAACCCUGGAAUUGCCUUUGAUACUGGCUGUCUUGAGUACGGGAGAGGUGAGUGGAACUCCGAGUGUAGAGGUGAAAUUCGUAGAUAUUCGGAAGAACACCAGUGGCGAAGGCGACUCACUGGCCCGUUACUGACGCUGAGGCGCGAAAGCGUGGGGAGCAAACAGGAUUAGAUACCCUAGUAGUCC